ensembl:lncRNA novel transcript
GAAGGGAAUAAAAGCAGGUUACCUGGGCCUGCAGUGGUUAUCUGGUCAGUGUUUGGGUCUGUGCUGCUGUAUGUAUGUGAGCUGUAAUACUCACUGUGAAGGUCUUCAACUUCACUCCUGAAGUCAGUGAGAUCACGAGCCCACCAGAAGGAAGAAACUCCACACACUUCUGAACAGCUGAAGGAACGAACUCCGGACACACCACCUUGUAGAACUGUGACACUCAUGCCUUAAAAAGGAUAUUCUGUCAUGUGUGGCAAGAUGGAUAAACCUGGAGGACAUUACGCUCCAGUGAAACGGGUACUGCAUUUUGAUAAAUUGAAGGUUUGUGGAACGCUGCAUUGAGCAAGUCUAUUGGUACCAUUUUCCAACAGCAUGUGCUCACUUCAUGUCUCUGUGCCACAUUUGUGCUCCCAAAGCUUGCUGGCACAUAAACAUGAAUGAAUGAACAAUGUAGAAUUCACUCAAGAAAUUUCAAGGAGAGAGAGGAGGAGAUUUACAUCACACAGCAAACAACCUAAUAAAUCUGUUAAACGCCA